rnacentral:rRNA from 1 species
UACGAAGGGUGCAAGCGUUACUCGGAAUUACUGGGCGUAAAGCGUGCGUAGGCGGUUUGUUAAGUCUGUCGUGAAAGCCCCGGGCUCAACCUGGGAAUGGCGAUGGAUACUGGCGAGCUAGAGUACGGUAGAGGAGAGUGGAAUUCCCGGUGUAGCAGUGAAAUGCGUAGAGAUCGGGAGGAACAUCAGUUGCGAAGGCGGCUCUCUGGACGGUGACUGACGCUGAGGAGCGAAAGCAUGGGGAGCGAACAGG